rnacentral:sRNA from 1 species
GAUCCCGGAGGUCAACAUCCGCCAGCGCGUUGCGCCCGCGGAUGCAAGCGGU